GACGAACGCUGGCGGCGUGCUUAAUACAUGCAAGUCGAGCGAGGUCCAUCUGGUGGCAACACCAGUGAAGGCCGAGCGGCGAACGGGUGAGUAACACGUGAGCAACCUGCCCCGAAGUCUGGAAUAACAUCGGGAAACCGGUGCUAAUACCGGAUCGCCCCACCUGACCGCAUGAUCGGGUGAGGAAAGAUUUAUCGCUUCGGGAGGGGCUCGCGGCCUAUCAGCUAGNGGUGGGGUAACGGCCUACCAAGGCGUCGACGGGUAGCUGGUCUGAGAGGACGACCAGCCACACUGGGACUGAGACACGGCCCAGACUCCUACGGGAGGCAGCAGUAGGGAAUCUUGCGCAAUGGGCGAAAGCCUGACGCAGCAACGCCGCGUGGGGGAUGACGGCCUCGG
rnacentral:rRNA from 1 species